CUCAACACACCUUAUCCUGUUACAAAACCCCCACCGAAAAAUUGAAAAUUCGCAAAUUCCCGCACCAAUUCCUCACUCGCUCUCUCAAAAACCAGAACACAAACACUUCAUCUGCAACAAUGGCGACGAAGAAGGCGAUGGAAGUCGUGAAGGGCCUGGAUCUGCAGCGCUACAUGGGGCGGUGGUACGAGAUUGCCUCCGUUCCGUCGCGGUUUCAGCCCAAGAACGGCGAGAACACGCGUGCCACCUACACUCUGAAAGACGACGGCACCGUGAAUGUGCUGAACGAGACUUGGACCGACGGGAAGAGGGGGUUCAUCGAGGGCACCGCCUACAAGGCGGACCCGAAUAGCGACGAGGCGAAACUGAAGGUGAGGUUUUAUGUUCCGCCAUUUCUGCCGAUCAUUCCUGUCACGGGGGAUUACUGGGUUUUGUUCAUUGACGAGGAUUAUCAGUACGCUUUGAUUGGCCAGCCUAGCAGGAAUUCCCUUUGGAUAUUGAGCAGGCGGCCUCAUCUGGAUGAAGAAAUAUACAACCAGCUGGUCCAAAGGGCGGCGGACGAGGGCUACGACGUGAGCAAACUCCACAAGACGCGGCAGAGCGAGAGUCCGCCGGAGGGAGAAGAAGGCCCCAAAGACACCAAGGGGCAUCUGGUGGUUCAAAUCCAUCUUCGGAAGAUAGAGAUAAUCUCGUAGCACACUCCUACUGUAGCAGUGUAAUCAUAUUUGGGAGUCUGAGUGAGUGUAUGUUUUUGUAAUAAGAAACGCUGAGACCCCCUUUGCAACUUGUAGACUGCCUCUCUACCCUAGCAGCGACGUCGUUUUGUGAUUAUGUUAGUUGUUGUACUGUAACAACGUUGUAAAGUUUCCAUCAAGUUGGUUUUGUUAUGCAUUUUGUGUCUGGAUUUUGAUCGAA